rnacentral:rRNA from 1 species
UACGGGAGGCAGCAGUGAGGAAUAUUGGGCAAUGGAGGCAACUCUGACCCAGCCAUGCCGCGUGCAGGAAGACGGCCCUAUGGGUUGUAAACUGCUUUUAUACAGGAAGAAACUUAUCCACGUGUGGAUAACUGACGGUACUGUAAGAAUAAGGACCGGCUAACUCCGUGCCAGCAGCCGCGGUAAU